GUAGGUGGCAAGCGUUGUCCGGAAUUAUUGGGCGUAAAGCGCGCGCAGGCGGGUUCUUUAAGUCUGAUGUGAAAGCCCACGGGCUCAACCGUGGAGGGUCAUUGGAAACUGGAGAACUUGAGUACAGAAGAGGAAAGCGGAAUUCCACGUGUAGCGGUGAAAUGCGUAGAGAUGUGGAGGAACACCAGUGGCGAAGGCGGCUUUCUGGUCUGUAACUGACGCUGAGGCGCGAAAGCGUGGGGAGCAAACAGGAUUAGAUACCCUGGUAGUCCACGCCGUAAACGAUGAGUGCUAAGUGUUAGGGGGUUUCCGCCCCUUAGUGCUGCAGCUAACGCAUUAAGCACUCCGCCUGGGGAGUACGGCCGCAAGGCCG
rnacentral:rRNA from 1 species